AAAGUAACAACAUAAAUAUUUAUCCUGGUUCGGCACACCAAUGUAGUACCUACGUCUAGUCUCCUUGGGGUUCAAAGUUUUCUUAGAUCUUUGAAAGUUUGGCUCGAUUACAAUGAUAGGAAACAAGUUUUGAAGACUUAUUUUGCUCUUCAGAUCUUGUGACACAACUUCAGUUGAUGUUACAAAGUUGACUCGAUCCCACUCUUUAUAUAACAAUUGUAAACUAACGUUACAGAGCUUUUUAACACUAAGAAUGAGACACUUUAAAUUUUUUCCUUGAAGUUGCAUAAAAACUGUCUGUCUUCGAUCUUCUUCUUUUAUAGUCUUCGGCUACUACUUGUCAUAAGGAAACCCAAGAAAUUUCUUCUCGAUCAAGGAUUUAAAUUGAUUCCUUGAUUGAGGAAAGUAGUCGUUUGAUAUGUCCAUAUCAGAUAUGUUCAUAUAUGGCUUUGGAUUACAUUCAUAUCAAAUAUGUCCGUGAUCUAUCCUACAUUUUAAUCUUGAUAUCCAUGUGACAGUUGUGUGCUUUCUUCUUUGUUUAGAUCCUGAUUGAUUUUCUGACUGAUAUAAUCUUCCAUGAUUAUGGGAUGGUGAUUCUCCUUCCAUUUCCAAGAUACUAAUUUGCUUGCCAUGAUUGUUUGAGUGUCGUGAUCUUCUUAUGGUUGGAUGUCCUUCCUUUCCUAGAGAGGUGCUUCUUUUAUUCUUUUACCAUUAGUAAUCUUCAAAUAUCUUGCAUCCUUUUUCCUGCGAAGAUUCAUUCGUUAGUUUGUCAUUAUUAAAACGUUACCUAAGGAGACUAACAACAACCUCCAAAUUCGCCCUAUUUAAAUGUUUUGGAUCUAGA
rnacentral:lncRNA from 1 species